rnacentral:rRNA from 1 species
UACGAUGGGAGCUAGCGUUGUUCGGAAUCACUGGGCGUAAAGCGCACGUAGGCGGACUUGUCAGUCAGGGGUGAAAUCCCGGGGCUCAACCUCGGAACUGCCUCUGAUACAGCAAGUCUCGAGUCCGGAAGAGGUGGGUGGAAUUCCUAGUGUAGAGGUGAAAUUCGUAGAUAUUAGGAAGAACACCGGUGGCGAAGGCGGCCCACUGGUCCGGUACUGACGCUGAGGUGCGAAAGCGUGGGGAGCAAACAGG